CCGAAAACGGUACCAAUUUGGUCCGGUUCGAGGGCGGCGGCGCGACCGCCGAACGGACGGAGUUUCCCCUGUCCGCCCAAGGCUAAGCAACAGAUUGUGUACAACAAGUCCCCAGGAAAACAACUUGAAUACAUACACAAUCAAACAACGAUAGCGAGAGCACAACCAGUGCUACAACCAACUAGAGCAAGCGAUACAAGUAAAAUCAUACAAGUAUACAAAAGAGAGAAACUUA
rnacentral:lncRNA from 1 species